UACGUAGGGCGCAAGCGUUGUCCGGAAUUAUUGGGCGUAAAGAGCUCGUAGGCGGCUUGUCACGUCGGGUGUGAAAGCCCGGGGCUUAACCCCGGGUCUGCAUUCGAUACGGGCUGGCUAGAGUGUGGUAGGGGAGAUCGGAAUUCCUGGUGUAGCGGUGAAAUGCGCAGAUAUCAGGAGGAACACCGGUGGCGAAGGCGGUUCUCUGGGCCUUACCUGACGCUGAGGAGCGAAAGUGUGGGGAGCGAACAGG
rnacentral:rRNA from 1 species